rnacentral:rRNA from 1 species
GUUGAACGCUGGCGGCAUGCCUUACACAUGCAAGUCGAACGGCAGCACGGGAGCAAUCCUGGUGGCGAGUGGCGAACGGGUGAGUAAUACAUCGGAACGUGCCCGAUCGUGGGGGAUAACUACUCGAAAGAGUAGCUAAUACCGCAUACGAUCUACGGAUGAAAGCGGGGGAUCGCAAGACCUCGCGCGGACGGAGCGGCCGAUGGCAGAUUAGGUAGUUGGUGGGAUAAAAGCUUACCAAGCCGACGAUCUGUAGCUGGUCUGAGAGGACGACCAGCCACACUGGGACUGAGACACGGCCCAG